GGGUUUUUAGCUCAGUUGGUUCAGAGCAUCUCGUUUACACCGAGAGGGUCGGGGGUUCGAAUCCCUCAAGACCCACCA
rnacentral:tRNA from 1 species